UCAACAUAGUGCCCUGCUCGUGCCCAAUUACACUUCCUAAAUUGGUUUUGUUUGAGAAACUUUUGAAAAGAAUUAGGCUCAAAAGGGAGAAGAAAGAUGAUCUCUAAGGAUGGAACCCGUAAAGGACAGGGACUGAAAACACCAGAAUUGCGAAUGUAAAGGAGACCAGUCACGCCAGCCUGCCUUGGAGCCAGCUGAAUAUGGGCUGAAACCUCCAAAAACUCACCAUGGUGAUUAACACCCUCUCUGCACCUCUGGGGACCACCUGGCUCUGCAGGAACAAACGUCACACAGUGAUUUGAAAGAAUUCACAGUUCUGCUCUCGGAGCCUUCUUCUCUGGGCUCUCUGAGCUCCGGGACAAGCUCAGGGUGUUUGUGCAGCUGUCGCAGUGCCCGUGAGAAUGGCCUGUCAUACCUGUGGACUGCCCCUUCUGACCUCCAGGUGGACAUCUGUACUCAGGUUCACAUCGCCCUCCCAUAUCUGGCUCAGAGAACAUUCACGCUUUUCUUGUGAAAAGAUAGCAGCGUUAAUGUUUGCAAAGGUGCUAUUUUAAACAAGAAAACUUAAAAACAGAUGGACUGUGGUUUCCAGACAUCACAUCUCCAAGAACAUGAUAGAAACCAGAAGUCAACACAUCCAAGUCUCUGGGACAAGAGUUGACAUUUCUGAAAUUGGAGAGGCUCUCACUGAAGAUGGAAGCCCCAUCUCUGCCAACUGGGCAGGAGCCAUAGCUUCCUGCUAGAAGUGCGACCUCUCCUGCCACUAUUGUCACUCCAGCCAGAGGACGUGGGAUGGGCUGACUAAGCCUCACAUGCUGUCUACUGCACAGAAGAUGCUGACCUGCUGUCUG